CCUACGGGAGGCAGCAGUGGGGAAUUUUGGACAAUGGGGGAAACCCUGAUCCAGCCAUCCCGCGUGAGUGAAGAAGGCCUUCGGGUUGUAAAGCUCUUUCGAAAGUGAAGAAAACUUAUUUCGUAAUACGUUAUAAGUAUGACGGUAACUUUAGAAGAAGCACCGGCUAACUACGUGCCAGCAGCCGCGGUAAUACGAAGGGGGCGAGCGUUAUUCGGAAUUAUUGGGCGUAAAGGGCUCGCAGGCUGCUUGAACAGUUAGACGUGAAAUCCCCGGGCUUAACCUGGGAACUGCGUUUAAUACUAGCAAGCUAGAGAAAUAGAGAGGAAAGUGGAACUCCCAGUGUAGAGGUGAAAUUCGUAGAUAUUGGGAAGAACACCAGUGGCGAAAGCGACUUUCUGGCUAUUUUCUGACGCUGAGGAGCGAAAGCGUGGGGAGCAAACAGGAUUAGAUACCCUGGUAGUCCACGCCGUAAACGAUGUGUGCUAGAUGUUGGAGGGUUACCUUUCAGUGUCGCAGCUAACGCACUAAGCACACCGCCUGGGAAGUACGGUCGCAAGAUUAAAACUCAAAGGAAUUGACGG
rnacentral:rRNA from 1 species